GGGAUACGUUUCGAUGCAGCUAUCUACAAAAUCAAAAAGAAAAAAGAAAAAGAAAGGGGGCUCUGUGGAUCUUUUUAAAAUUUUCCAAUUUUGUGGACGUUAUAUUGAUUUCGUGACUUUUCUCGUUUCGUCUUGCUUACGACAAAGUCCUCUCGCUUAUGCUGCUGCCUUCUCUCUCUGAUUUUUCAUUUUUUCUUUUUUCUUGGUACCCUGAAAAAUUACCAAUUAUUUUCGCACUUUGGUUUUUGGUGGCUAUUAGAUAUGUUCCAUUGAUUGAUUGGAAGAUUAAAUUGCAUUUGUUUAGCUUCAAUUCUUGUUAAUGGGUCCUUCUGAAGCGCUUCUGCAAGUUUUCUCCGGGACUGUACCCGGCCAUUUUAUAAGUUACUCAUGUUCAGGCAAGUCUGAUACUAUAUACUCUUCCCCAUACCAUGCAAAAUGUCUAAAGAAAAGGGUCUCAAGAUACAUGCAACUAUUGGGUUGUUCAAGUAUGCGGCAAACCUGUAAUGCAACCUAUCCAUUUCAAGGGAUAGGGAGUGGUUUAUUUCACAAUACGAAGAGUUCAUGGCUUCAGAGUUGCAGGUGUCAACAGUCUGAAAGUGCAAGUGGGAUAACUACAGAAGGUGUAAACGGAACAUGGUUUGUAGAUACUGCACAAAAAUUUAAUCCGAUCAAUGGUGUGGUGAAUGGACCAGAUGUUCUUGAGUUUCAGGAUGUUCAACAAUUACAACAAGAAAAGGAGGGUUCGACAUCUAGCGGGGAAAAUGGGGCACUUAGAGAUGCGUUUCACAAGAUUAGCCUCAACUCCAUUGAGGAUGAAGCAUGGGAUUUACUACGGGAGUCUGUAGUUUAUUAUUGUGGAAGUCCUAUUGGAACCAUUGCGGCAAAGGAUCCAACCAGUUCCAAUGUGUUGAAUUAUGAUCAGGUUUUUAUUCGUGACUUCAUACCUUCCGGUAUAGCUUUCCUGUUGAAGGGGGAGUAUGACAUUGUUCGGAAUUUUAUCCUGCAUACACUACAAUUGCAGAGCUGGGAGAAAACAAUGGACUGUCACAGUCCUGGUCAAGGAUUGAUGCCUGCUAGCUUUAAGGUCCGCACAGUUCCUUUAGAUGGUGAUGAUUCUGCAACAGAAGAGGCAUUAGAUCCAGACUUUGGGGAGGCAGCAAUUGGCCGUGUUGCUCCAGUUGAUUCUGGAUUAUGGUGGAUUAUCUUGUUGCGUGCAUAUGGAAAAUGCACUGGGGAUCUCUCAGUUCAAGAGAGAGUUGAUGUGCAAACAGGAAUUAAGAUGAUUUUAAGGUUAUGUCUUGCUGAUGGUUUUGAUAUGUUCCCCACAUUGCUGGUAACUGAUGGUUCUUGCAUGAUUGAUCGCCGUAUGGGUAUUCAUGGACACCCUCUGGAAAUCCAGGCACUUUUUUAUUCAGCAUUGCUUUGUGCACGUGAGAUGCUUGCUCCAGAGGAUGGAUCAGCUGACCUUAUCCGAGCGCUGAACAAUCGUCUGGUAGCUCUGUCAUUUCAUAUCAGAGAGUAUUAUUGGGUUGACAUGAGAAAAUUGAAUGAGAUCUACCGGUAUAAAACUGAAGAAUAUUCAUAUGAUGCAGUUAACAAGUUCAACAUUUACCCUGACCAAAUAUCUCCUUGGUUGGUAGAAUGGAUGCCACAUAAAGGAGGCUAUCUGAUUGGAAAUUUGCAACCAGCUCAUAUGGAUUUCCGAUUCUUUUCUUUAGGAAACUUGUGGUCAGUAGUUAGUAGUCUUGCUACGCAAGAUCAAUCACAUGCUAUUUUGGAUCUUGUUGAAGCCAAAUGGGCUGAUUUGGUUGCAGACAUGCCAUUUAAGAUUUGUUAUCCUGCUCUAGAAGGUCAGGAGUGGCAGAUUAUAACAGGCAGUGAUCCUAAGAACACCCCUUGGUCCUAUCACAAUGCAGGUUCCUGGCCGACUCUGCUAUGGCAGCUGACAGUAGCAUGCAUAAAGAUGAAUAGACCUGAAAUUGCUGUAAAAGCUGUUGAAGUUGCUGAGAAACGGAUAGCACAAGAUAAGUGGCCUGAAUAUUACGAUACCAAGAGGGCAAGGUUCAUCGGAAAACAAUCACGCUUGUUCCAAACCUGGUCAAUUGCAGGAUACCUUGUGGCUAAGCUCUUGCUUUCUGACCCUAGUAAAGCCAAGAUAUUGGUUACUGAAGAGGACUCUGACCUUGUCAAUGCUUUCUCUUGCAUGAUCAGUGCCAACCCAAGAAGAAAACAUGGUCGGAAGAAUUCGAAGCAAACCUACAUUGUUUGAGUUUUCUGCAACCACUCUUUUAGCUGGCUGUGGAACUCUUUAUAUGGGAAACAUGCAUAUAUGAUCCGAAAUGAAAAUCUCAACUAGAAGAGGAAAUUGCUUCUGUACAAAUAAACUGAUUGGAAUGGUAGCAAGCAAAAUGACAGGAAUGAAAAUCCAUGAAUAUUUGUCUUGAAGCACAAUCAGAAGUGUAGCAGAAAAAGCAAUCAUCAUGGUUACAAUGGAGAAAAAGAUGUGGAACGACCAUCUAUCAUCUUCUUAGGCAAAGAUUUUAGGAAGUCCUCUUCUGCAUAUCUUGAGGUAAGGAUCUCUAAAAACAUCAAAACUGAAGUUCAGGAUGAAAAGAGCGAAAUGGCAUCAGAUACUAUGAAAAGCAGGAACGACUUUUUAUUCAAAAAAUAGUAAGACCAGAAUUUUCAUUGAAACUCCAGGAACUGUAAAUGAUGCAAAUAUGAUUGUAACAAUGAGAGCACCUACUACCGUACAUGAAGUUGCUGUCUCUUUCAUACUUUUUUCUCCUUCUUUCAACAAUUUAUGGUGGUCUUUGGUAUUUACUUGGGCGUCUGUCAUAGUUUCGGAGUUUGUGUGGUCUAGAAUCCAAGGAGUUGCAAUCGACUUCACCACCUAUAUUUUUAUUCGUACCAAAAGAAUAAAUAAAUAAAUAAAUGAGGCGAUUUUUGGUGAAUAAUUUUCAUAAAAUUUGACCAUUAUAGUUUCCGAAAAUAUGUGCAGAUUUAGCCAGAUGAAGAAGAGCAAUUGGAGCAAGAAGAAGUUUGAAUAUACUUUUUACAGAAAUAAACCAUACAAGUGUUUCAUACUACUAAAAUAAACUUAAUGAGAAGAAUAAGAGAGUAUGCUGAUUAGAGAAAAAUGACCUUAAACCACUCUUAAGUCCCUCUGCAUUUGUAAAGUUGCUCCUGAAAUUUGUGGGUAAGGUGCCAACAUUGCUGCCAAAUGCAACAUAUUGUUUCCAUGCUUAUCGAUCAGAGUUGCCGCUGGUAAUUUCAAUUCAAUUCUGUGUAUGUAGUUAAAAACAUUUGCUCGGCGAUGCUGGAUUGCUCGCAUAAAAACGUUCCUAUUUAGUU